AAUAGGAAACACAAGGGUUUCUUCUCUCUUUGCUUGACCGAUUCACUCUCCUCUUUUGCUCAAUCUUUCCUUUCUUCAAAAUCAGACAUCAGAAGGUUUCACCGGCGGCUCCUUCGCCGUAUCAUCAGAUGGCUCCUUCAUUGUGUGCAUGCAGCGAUUCCAUUAAAAUCGUCGGUUCCGCCAACGCAUCCAUCAGGUCCACCCUCGAAGGUGACUCUGAAAAAUUCACCGCUUUGGAUCUUGGUCCCAAUGAUAAACUUCUCUUCUCUUCUAGCCACAACAGGAAAAUCAGAGUUUGGGACUUAUCCACUCUCAAAUGUGUGUGCUCGUGGAAGGUAUAGUCAUAUUAGGUUUAAUUUUAAUUCAAUGUUCGGUUAUGCUCAUGUUAAUUAAUUCAAAGCAAAAGGAUUAUCUAGCAAAUCGGACUUCAUCGAGUUCACGACAGUGGAAGUUAUACUUGUUCUUAAAUAUCAAUGUGUACUUUUAAGGAACUGAGUUUAAAAGCGAGUGGAUUCUUCCAUUCUUGAAGUGAAAAGCCUGGAAGCUAAAGCUAAAGUUAUCCUAAGCGUCAACAUCCCACUAAGUGCAAUAGAACAUGAGCUCAGUGGUGUGCCUUAUUUUUCUGUUAUUCUCCUUAUGCUUAUGUUCAUUCAUGACUAGAUAUACACAUACACACAUAGUGGCCCAUUUUUUUUUAUAGCUAAACUACAUAUAUAAAUAGACUAGCAAUUUGGUACAAGAUGACCUCAUUUGCAUGCAAUAAAUAAAAUAAGAUAAGCUAACAAUUAAGUGUUUACGAUUGUAGAAACUAAGUAAAAUUAAUAGAUAUAACCAUCUUAAAUUUGAAGACUUUUAUGGUAUGGGCACAAAAAGUCUUUCAAAAUUGAGUUUUUAAUUUGGUUAUUUUAUAGUUCCUCUGAUCAAACGGAUUCUCUAUAUCCUUACAUAGUGUUUGACUUUGAUUGUCAUUACUCAAACAAAAGAGAUAAAAUUUAAUAAUUAUUCAUGCAUGGUUGUUAUUAAUCGUACAAUUAAUUGGCUGAAAAUUAUUUCCAAUAAGUUGAAUGCUUAACUGUUGCAGCUAAAAAGCCUAUUCCUCCAUCUUCUAUCCUGAAGCUGUAGACAGUAAGUUAUGCUCACAUUUUUCCUACCAAUUUCAUGAACUUAAAGAUUCGUUGUUGUUGAACUCUCUAUUUCGACGUAUAUACUAAGAGUAAAGUUCUUAAAUAGUGUAAUUUAUUUCUCAUAUUUAGAAAUAUUAUGAAAACAUUUAUUAAGCUGAGUUUGUAACUUAAUUUAUUUUAUUUUCCAUAGGUUAUAGAUGCUUCUAGUGCUCCAAACCAGACAGAUUCUCGAAGUCCAUGCACGGAUGAAGAUGGAAGAUUCAUAUAUGUUUUUGUGCUUUUUUAUUGUUGUAGCAUCUAUUUUCGGGGUUGUUAUUGUAUAAUCGACAUUACUUUGUUAUUUUGAUAUGUUUGUAAGAUUUGUUAUUUUGACAUAUAAUUAAAA